CUUCAUGUGGUAUAAAUCAUGUUUAACGGUGUCGAUCGUCGAUUUGGAGGCUCUAUCAUCGAAAACAAAUGGGUGGCAAUGGAGCCCGUUUGCUAUUAAUAGUAUUCAAGCUCAACUCUCUCUCUCUCUCUCUCUCUCUAUAUAUAUAUAUAUAUAUAUAUAUAUAUAUAUUCGCUGCUAUAUUCUUAUUAGUACGAUCAGUUUCAUAUUCAUAAGUCGUUUUCGACGAUAGAACUUCCAAAUUGACGAUCCAUACCGUUAAAUAUUAUCUAAAGUAUUUAAAACUUCUAAACAUCAAAUUUCAUAAUUUUUCAACAUCAUUUAUCUUACGAUCAAAAGUUCACACAAUUGACAAUUUUUAACGGCCGGUAUCGGAAUAGGCUGAAUUUUUUAUAGAAAAUUCUAUUCACUAUCUAGAUAAAGAUCAAUAACUCCGAUCUUAAAUUGAAGGAUCCGAUCAUCUAAUUUUACGACGUCGUUCGAUUUUGACCGUUAAUUCAUUUUAUAUAUGCCCACUUAAUAGACUUUAUUAUUAUUUUAAAAAAUUACGAAAUUUAUUUUUUAAAAGUUUCAAUACUCUAAAUCAUAUUCAACGGAGUAAAUGGAUCGUUGAUUCGGAAGUCCCAUCAUCGAAAACAACUUAUAAGUAUGAAGUGCUCUGUACUCACAAGAGUAUAUAUAGUAGCCCUACUCUCUCUCUCUC
rnacentral:lncRNA from 1 species